rnacentral:rRNA from 1 species
CCUACGGGUGGCAGCAGUGAGGAAUAUUGGUCAAUGGGCGAGAGCCUGAACCAGCCAAGUAGCGUGAGGGAUGACGGCCCUACGGGUCGUAAACUGCUUUUGUACGGGGAUAACAUGUUCCACGUGUGGGAUUUUGUAGGUACCGUGUGAAUAAGGGCCGCCUAAUUCCGUGCCAGCAGCCGCGGUAAUACGGAGGGCCCGAGCGUUAUCCGGAUUUAUUGGGUUUAAAGGGAGCGUAGGCGGGUGUUCAAGUCAUCUGUAAAAUUGGCGGGCUCAACCGCGCAUUGCAGUUGAAACUGGCAGCCUUGAGUACAGAAGAGGUAGGCGGAAUUCGUGGUGUAGCGGUGAAAUGCUUAGAUAUCACGAAGAACCCCGAUUGCGAAGGCAGCUUGCUGGACUGCAACUGACACUGAGGCUCGAAGGUGUGGGUAUCAAACAGGAUUAGAUACCCGUGUAGUC